rnacentral:rRNA from 1 species
UAUGUGAUCGUCUCUCGCAUAUCAAUAAGCGGAGGAAAAGAAACUAACAAGGAUUCCCCUAGUAACGGCGAGUGAAGCGGGAAGAGCUCAAAUUUGAAAUCUUAAAGGGUUUCCCUUUACGAAUUGUAGUUUAAAGAAGUGUUUUCUGUUGAGGUUUUGGUAAAAGUUCUUUGGAAUAGGACAUCAUAGAGGGUGAGAAUCCCGUAUUUGACCUUUACUUUCAACUUUGUGAUACACUUUCAAAGAGUCGGAUUGUUUAGGGAAUGCAGUCCAAAAUGGGUGGUAAAUUUCAUCUAAAGCUAAAUAUUGGCGAGAGACCGAUAGCGAACAAGUACCGUGAGGGAAAGAUGAAAAGAACUUUGAAAAGAGAGUUAAACAGUACGUGAAAUUGUCAAAAGGGAAGUGUUUGACACCAGUGUUGUUUUUCUGAAAAUCAAUUAAAGAACUGUUUAUGCUAAGCUGUUUAGACUUUAUCAGCUAAUCUGUUUAGUUUUGAGCUUUUCUUUAAUGCACUUUUCAGUUAACAAGUCAACAUCAAUUUCUUUUGCUGUAAAAAAGCUUGAGGAAGGUGGCUUGAGAUUCGUCUUAAGUGUUUAUAGCCUCUUGCCUAUGCAGUCGGAGAGAUUGAGGUCUGCAGCGUAGAUCCUUCGGGGCUAAAUGCAUUUGUGCUAAGUUAUAGCAUUUUAUAGACAACUUGUUGACUAUGAUUUGUCUUGUAGCUUACUCGCUUAUGUUAUUUUACCUACGCUUAGGAUGUUGAGUAGCGACAUACGCAC